GUUGCCUCGUGACCCGGUCUACCACCGGGAUGUUCAUAACCACUUUGUUGUCCGACUCUGUUGCCUCCGGGGCGACCCUGCCUUCGGGCGGGGGCUCCGGGUGGACACUUCAAACUCUUGCGUAACUUUGCAGUCUGAGUAAACUUAAUUAAUAAAUUAAAACUUUUAACAACGGAUCUCUUGGUUCUGGCAUCGAUGAAGAACGCAGCGAAAUGCGAUAAGUAAUGUGAAUUGCAGAAUUCAGUGAAUCAUCGAAUCUUUGAACGCACAUUGCGCCCCCUGGUAUUCCGGGGGGCAUGCCUGUUCGAGCGUCAUUUCACCACUCAAGCCUCGCUUGGUAUUGGGCAACGCGGUCCGCCGCGUGCCUCAAAUCGACCGGCUGGGUCUUCUGUCCCCUAAGCGUUGUGGAAACUAUUCGCUAAAGGGUGUUCGGGAGGCUACGCCGUAAAAAAACCCCAUUUCUAAAGUUGACCUCGGAACACGGAGGGAAACCCGCUGAAACCUACCAUAUCUCAACUCCGAGGAAAC
rnacentral:rRNA from 1 species